GCGAGCUGAGCUCUGGCUGGUAACGUGACAGAUAGGUCAGAGGAUCACACUAAACUCUGACAAGUUUGACGYUGUGUUAAUAGGCUYGUUUGGAUUCUUCGACUCUCUACUUCAGAACAACCAGAGACCAAAGUGAUGUUCUUCUGUUCACACUCCUCCACUUUGAGCUCCUGGGGAAGAUGACGCAGAGCAUGGUGAAUCUGGCUUUUGAUAUGUGUCCAGCGUUCUACGUUGUGCUUGCAGUUCUCUGCUUCAUCCUGCUGCUGUUCAUUGUGCUGGGCGCCGUGUUUCUAAGAAAGUA